UUUAGGGUCAGUGUAUUUUCUGCCAUUACAAACAGCCAGAUUUCUUUCAAGUGUCUAGUUUUCAUUCUCACACUUGAGAAAGUGGAACAAGAUGAUUGGGGGUCAGGUGGUAAGUACAGAGGCAUACUGUAGAAUGAUUUGUGAUGUAAUCUAUAUUUGAUCAACAAAUCUUGUUGACAACUGAAGGGAGGUGGAGGGCCCCCCAUGUGGAGUGUUUUUCUGUGGAGUGCACAAGGAAGGCUAGGAUGUGUGCCCCCACAAAUCACAUGGUCAUCGUUUUACUGCUGCCUCCCUUUGAAUCUGAUCUGAGCCACAUUCAGGUCCCCAGAGAACUAAUAUGUUUGCUCCAGACUCUGUGUGAGAUGUUCCUAUGAAAGGUUGUGCUUUUGGAAUGAGAAGAAACAGAUUUUGUUGUUGUUGUUGUUAAUAAGUUUCUACAUAGAAGCUGGCUCUUUAUCAGGUAUUUUUCUUUAGCCCCCAAGAAAACUCUUCCCUUCAAAACUCAAACCACAACACCUAGUAUGCAUUUUUGAGUAGGUUGUGGUAGGACUGCAUUGAGCUGAAAAACCUUCGACCAUCUAUAAUUUGAAAACAGCAGAUAAAAAGAGGACUUAAUGUAUUUGAUCUUGUCUGUGAAGAGAGUAUAAAAGUAUUAUGUGAAAAAUAUUGGAAAAAUUCAGAAGCCCAUGAGAGUGUUGGAGGGCAAGGGGAGUGGUGCUGGUGUCCUGGGACCUCCUCUGAGACAUUAGAUUUAAGGUGGAGAGACACCAGUUAGGAAAUCAGAGCUGUUCAGGUAAAGGCAAGCAUCAGCUAAUAGGAAAUAUGAAAGAACCUUACUCCUUCCAUCACCCAAAGGCCAUAUCCAGAGCUAACCAUAUUGCUGUGGUCCAUAUGCCAGCAUACGAUGUUCUGAGGCCCAGGGAAUAAGCCACCUUCUCAGUUCUCUGUGUUCCCUUUAGUCCCCACAUCUCCUGACGGAGAGAAGUUCUGCCACUUUGGGCAUCUUCUUUUUAACUGUUUAGGACUGAAAACAACAGAGAGCACAGGAAGCUGUGCGCUUAGAGUGUGGUGGUGAAGGUAAACGACAGGACUAAGAUAUGUGUCUGAGGACAUCUUAGCAACAAAACAAAAUAUGAGAAUUGUUUGAAAUUUAUCAAGGAGGCCCUGGCCAGUUUGGCUCCGCGGUUAGAGCAGCAGCCUGUGGACCACAGAGUCCCAGGUCCAGUUUCCACUAGGGGCACGUACCAAAAAAAAAUAAGUAAAUAAAUAAAUAAACUGUCAAGAAGUUUGCAUAAAUGCUAAUAACACCAGAAUUUGACUAUGACCAUAGCAAUUAUGUUCACAGCAACACCACCAAUAGAACAGAACCAUGAUUAUCAUCAGCAUGUUUAAUAUAAUUAAAAUUGUAUCUAUAGCAAUAAGAGUAUGUCUUUCUAUUUCAAUGCCAUUCUCAUAUAACAUAUGUAAUAUAAUAUAUACAUAAUAUUUUGUAAUAUCAGACACAAUAAAGAAUAACAUAAAAAAGGUCCCUUCCUGCCUUCGUAAUUCUUACUGUUGUUGGGUGCAGGGCUGCAUGAAGAAGGACACUCAAUAUACUAUUAUCUUAUGACAAAGAUGAUAAAGCAAAAAACGCCAGGUCUCAGAAUACAAUCCAUGCAAAAUUUGCAUGCUUAUCAUUGCACUUUAAAGCACCACCAGUUUAUUUGUUAGAAAUAACUUCAUUCGCACCCUUGAUACUAAAACUGUCGACAUGACUCAGCCAUAAGCCUAUAUAAAUUUCACUGCUACCUCAGAGACAUGUGACUCAAGAAGACCCAAUAGAGAGCAACGUUAACUUAAUUCUAUUGUGGGAAACAAACAAUACCAAACUAUCUUUGCUUUAAUUAGAAAAUCAUCAACGUUUCAGUCGCCCUCCCUGUCUCUUUAAGUUAAUGUGUGACGGUUGCCCAGCUCUGACUCUUGCCUGUCAGGGAUCCUUGUCUGGAUCUUCGACCAUCUUGAAACUGCAGAACAUGAAACAUAUUCUCAGAAGAAAAGAUCGAUGAGAGGAUAUGCAAACAUGUGAAGGAAAUAGAAAUAUUUCUCUUCGGAUUUUGUAAAUUAAACUUAUUUUUAUUGUCAUUUUAUUUUUAUUAUAGUACUAUGUCAUGCAGAGGUUCUACCUUCUUAUAAAUUUAUUUUCAAUUUUUAAUUUUAAUACAUUUUUCAGUUCUACUUUUGAUUGAUGAUGUAACAAGGAUGAAAUAUUUCCCACUCAAGGUAGGGUAGGGGACGGUUAUGGAGGUGUGAGUGCCACCCAGGGAAAGACUCCACUAGAAGAGCACCACCUGUUAACCUCCAUGCUCUUCCUGCCUCCUAGUUGCUGGUGCCAUGUCAAUGACACACCUGUACCACACUGGGUCUGGAAGGCUUCCUCCUCUGGCCUGUCUAGGUCACAAACAAAAGCUGGUAAUUAACUGGUGGACCACAAAGAUUCAGUGGUGUUGUGGAAACUUUUUUCAGUGGGUUCAAACAUUUUCUAAAUAGUAGCUCUUUUAACUGCUGUUUAGAAAUGAGAAUGUUUUACAAAAUGUCAGUUUACCUUCCACAAUGACAGCUGCUACCACUUAGCUCUAAUGAACUGAGCCCUCCCACUGAUUAUCCAUCACACUCUGCUUUACAAAGGGCAGGUACCCACACUUUCUGGAUCAUGAUUUUAUCCCUAGUAAGUAUCUUGGGACAUAAAUAUAAAAUAAGCAGAACAAAUACUUGUAGAAUUCAAUUAAAUUGUGAGUGUUCAGGCAAGCUGUAGAAUGUAUCAUUUUAAUUAAUACUCUGAUUCAAAUAUUGUUGCUGGAAUAAUCUACAAAAGGGAUAAAAACAUAGUGAUUGAGUGCUGGUUAGGUCCUAGAACAUACUGAAGCAUUAACUUCCCCAAGGGUCUGGGUGGUGACUUUCCUGGAACUGUUGUUUUUCUUAAGGUUCUGUUCUGCUUCCUGUGUUUCAUUUUCACUUCUGUGACCUUUACCCUCAUUUCUCAGUCCUCUCCAGUGGGGGAAUUCCUCUGUCAAAGGCUGGUCUCUGUCUUGGUGAGUGAAUCUUGACCAGACUUACAUCUACUAUUCUCCACUAAGUUAAGACUCGUGUACCUCUACUAAAACGCUCCUGUGACUAUGAAAAGCCUGCCGAUCCUGGUUUCCUGAGAGUACUCUGUGAACUUGAAUAGCCUGACUAAGGGGUUAAUUGGCCACCAGAAGAGCGCCCAUACCACCUACUUGGACAUGAUCUCCUCCAGAGAUCAUUCUAUUGCUGGCCACUGCCGCUCCAGGCCAGCCCCCACAUCAAGUUCCACAAGAUGUUGGCCAUCAAUUCUGCCAGCCUGCCCCCAGAUGAUAACCCGGAGAAACCUCUGCAGGACUGCCUGGAGGCAAUCGACACUGCAGACGACCGCCCAGUCCUCAGGGAUGACCCACUGCCAUCAUCAGAUGAAAUAUUGUUCACGGACAGGAGCAACUAUGUCCAGGAAGAAAUUGGGUAUGCUGGGACAGCAGCAAAAACGCUAGACCAUAUCAUUAAGUAGGGGAACUUCAGCCCAAUAGGCUGAAUUUAUAGCCCUAAUCCAGGCUCUCUGAUGAGGCAAGGGGAAACCAUGCUGCAAAUAAGGAAGCUCUACAUAUGGCCCUAAAACCAGUGGGGACCUCUUCAGAUAUCAGUCACCAUGCCAAACCCAAGUUUGCCUCUGACGCCUACUAACACUGGGCAGAAAAUGACUUAACCAAGCAGAAACAAGUCAUAAAGGAAAUCAACAAAUGAUAGGCGCUACCCGAUGGGAGAUUAUUGGUCCCAGAGACUCUAGGUCAGACUUUAGUCAACCAGCUGCACCAAACUACCCACUUAGGUUACACCAAGCUUACUGAACUCCUGAGAGGCAGGUGAUGUCCAGUAAGGUCUCAGGGAAAAGGAGAAGGUGGAAGGAAGCAGGAAUAUAUAAGUCUAAGUAGGGAAGAAGAGAAGAAAAGCUGGGGAAUAUGCAGACAGCAGAUAGAUUGAACAAGCUUUUAAAUUCCUGUCAGGGGAGGGAAUAGAAAAGUCACAGAGGGUCUAUGUAAAUUGAAGAAGGAUUAUGUAAAUCAUAGAGGGUCUAUCAGCAAGCUGAAGAAGGAUUAUGGAGAGGGAAAAAAAUAAAAAGAGAAAGAUUAUGCAGAGGAAAUAAGAUAAGAAAAGAUAAAAGAAAGGGACAUACAUAUUACAGGAGGACAGGACAUUGGAAGGACACUCAAGAAGGAAAGAAAAUAGGACACUGAGAGAGGGGGAACUUGCCCCUAAUAAUAAAAUAACAGUCUAAGAUAUAUUAAAGGGAAUAACAGAUUUAGGCUACUCCUGACCCUUAGAUCAGACAAUGACGCCGCCUUGAUAACAAAGAUAUCACAGGAUAUCUCUAAAGGAUUAAAUUUAAAUUAGAAGCCCCAUUGUGCUUACUGCCCACAGAGUUCCAGGCAGGUAAAGCACAUGAACAGGACUUUAGAAACCUGUGAAGACUGGACCACUCUACUCCCCCUCGCCCUGUUACAGUUCUUGCCGACCCUGCAGUCUACCCAGAAGGCCAUCCUUAAACACAUCUGUGAUGCCCUGCCUGUGCCCACCUCAAACCUUAUGCACCCUUUCUAGCCCAGGGACUCAAUAUAAAUAAAGAAAUUCACCACCCAGGGACUAACGCCGGCCUGGAAGGGACCAUACACUGUCAUCCUGUCUGCACCAACAGCUGUCAAGGUCAACAGCAUCUCGGUCUGGCUGCACCAUUCCUGGCUGAAGGCGGAAAAAAACAAAAUGGACGACGCAGGCCUCUCCAGAUCCCUUAAAAAUAAGACUCUUA